AGACAGAGGGUGCAAACGUUGCUCGGAAUCACUGGGCAUAAAGCGCACGUAGGCGGGAGUGCAAGUCGGGUGUGAAAUCCCUCGGCCUAACCGAGGAACUGCGCCCGAAACUGCAUUUCUUGAGGACAGAAGGGGAGCGUGGAAUUCCUGGUGGAGCGGUGAAAUGCGUUGAUAUCAGGAGGAACGCCGGCGGCGAAGGCGACGCUCUGGUCUGUUUCUGACGCUAAGGUGCGAAAGCCAGGGGAGCAAACGGGAUUAGAAACCCCAGUAGUCC
rnacentral:rRNA from 1 species